rnacentral:rRNA from 1 species
AUUGAACGCUGGCGGCAUGCCUAACACAUGCAAGUCGAACGAAUGGCGGACGGGUGAGUAAUGUCUGGGAAACUGCCCGAUGGAGGGGGAUAACUACUGGAAACGGUAGCCAAUACCGCAUACUAUCGGAUGUGCCCAGUUGGGAUUAGCUAGUUGGUGGGGUAAAGGCUCACCUAGGCGACGAUCCCUAGCUGGUCGUAGAGGAUGACCAGCCACACUGGAACUGAGACACGGUCCAGACUCCUACGGGAGGCAGCAUUGGGGAAUAUUGCACAAUGGGCGCAAGCCUGAUGCAGCCAUGCCGCGUGUAUGAAGAAGGCCUUCGGGUUGUAAAGUACUUUCAGCGGGGAGGCGUUACCCGAAGAAGAAGCACCGGCUAACUCCGUGCCAGCAGCCGCGGUAAUUC